GACGAACGCUGGCGGCGUGCUUAACACAUGCAAGUCUAACGAAGUGGCGAACGGGUGAGUAACGCGUAAUCAACCUGCCCUUCAGAGUGGGACAACAGUUGGAAACGACUGCUAAUACCGCAUACUGAAGGAGGGGAUUGCGUCUGAUUAGCUAGUUGGCGGGGUAACGGCCAACCAAGGCGAUGCUCAGUAGCCGGUCGGAUAGGAUGAACGGCCACAGUGGGACUGAGACACGGCCCAGACUCCUACGGUAGGCAGCAGUGGGGAUUCUUCCGCAAUGGACGAAAGUCUGACGGAGCAACGCCGCGUGAGUGAUGACGGCCUUCGGGUUGUACAGCUCUGUUAAUCGGAACGCGGUACCGGAAUAGAAAGCCACGGCUAACUACGUGCCAGCAGCCGCGGUAAUUC
rnacentral:rRNA from 1 species